rnacentral:rRNA from 1 species
GAUGAACGCUGGCGGCGUGCCUAAUACAUGCAAGUCGAGCGAACAGAUGAGGAGCUUGCUCCUCUGACGUUAGCGGCGGACGGGUGAGUAACACGUGGAUAACCUACCUAUAAGACUGGGAUAACUUCGGGAAACCGGAGCUAAUACCGGAUAAUAUAUUGAACCGCAUGGUUCAAUAGUGAAAGACGGUUUUGCUGUCACUUAUAGAUGGAUCCGCGCCGCAUUAGCUAGUUGGUAAGGUAACGGCUUACCAAGGCGACGAUGCGUAGCCGACCUGAGAGGGUGAUCAGCCACACUGGAACUGAGACACGGUCCAGACUCCUACGGGAGGCAGCAGUAGGGAAUCUUCCGCAAUGGGCGAAAGCCUGACGGAGCAACGCCGCGUGAGUGAUGAAGGUCUUCGGAUCGUAAAACUCUGUUAUUAGGGAAGAACAAAUGUGUAAGUAACGAUGCACGUCUUGACGGUACCUAAUCAGAAAGCCACGGCUAACUACGU